UACGGGGGGGGUAAGCGUUGUUCGGAAUUACUGGGCGUAAAGGGCUCGUAGGCGGCCAACUAAGUCGGACGUGAAAUCCCCAGCUUAACUGGGGAACUGCGUCCGAUACUGGAUGGCUUGGAUUUGGGAGAGGGAUGCGGAAUUCCAGGUGUAGCGGUGAAAUGCGUAGAUAUCUGGAGGAACACCGGUGGCGAAGGCGGCGACCUGGGUCGAUGACUGACGCUGAGGUGCGAAAGCGUGGGGAGCAAACAGG
rnacentral:rRNA from 1 species